CCAGCAACCAGUAACAGGAAAAGCCAGUGCCUAAAGAGAACCACAAAGAGAGAGAAGACUUCUCUUAAUACUGACUAGGGGAAAGGAAAGUGAAGCUGACACUAUCACAGGAGCUCAGAGCUGCAGGAUCAACAUGAGCUACGAUAAACACAUCCUCUGGGCCUGCGUCGCUGCUCUGGUCACUGGUUGGGUCCUCACGAAUGAAGAUGGACACUGUUCUGGGACUGUCACGAGGCAGUAAGACAGAGUCAUUCAAAUAUUCUUUCAUUAAUAAAUCACCAUACGUUAUUGACUAGUACAGACCAGCAGUAUCUAUCAAAUAUUUAAAGUAGUUCUUCCCAAAAUGAAAAUUUGGUGAGAAUUUACUCACCC